UGCAGCUGCUAGCUAGAAGGGAAAUUGGGCAACAACAAACUGGUGAGUUUGACUUGCAUCCCUCCUCUCACAGCAGAUUCAUAAGAUUUCUGUACACACGAAUAAACAUGAUGUCAAGGAAAAGAGUCAAUACUACGUCUGCAAGGAGCAAUCCUGCCUUAUCAGUUUGCUGCAGCUCCUUGGGGAGGUGGCUGGCUCACAGUCAAGACACGUGAGAUGAAGGCAGUGGGUAUGGUGAGAGUUAUGCACCCAAUCUUAUGGCACAGAAGAAGGGCAGCUUGUAGGGACUGGCAGGUGGGUACUUCCAGGGGGAUGUAGGAAAGGACUGCGGCAGGGGUGGCAGAGGGAAUUGUGGCGACCAAGUGUGGGCAAGCUCAGGAGGACUCAGGCAAACUCAUGGACAAGUCACCUGCUGAGGGACUGCUAAAAGGACCAGUCAGGGGGUCUCUUCAUAACAGCUGAGGCUGCUGGUGGUGUGAGAGGAAUGGGCUGCAGAAAGCAGUUGGGCUCUCCCCAAGCAUCUCUAAAUGCCACUGUUGAAAACAGAGUGCUGGGUGAGCAGGGUCAUUGAUCAGAUCCAGGAAGUCAUUUUUUGUGAUUUCCUGAUUUCCUAUCAAAGAAUAGAGGUGGGUGGUACAUCUUGCAGCCUGGCAGUAAAGGGGUAUCUUGCUAAAAGGAAAAACAUUUGUUUCCAGGAAACCAAAGGCUUUGUGUGUGCUGUUGGUAGACCCCUAGAGGAACUUGCUGCCACAGGGACCAGGGUUAUUCCUGCAAUCUUGUCACAUGACUGCGCCCAAGAGGCUCUGCAGAUGGCUAAGCAACCUAUACGGCUAAGCAGGAAGUCAAGGUUUUGCUCCAUCACUCGUGAGCCAAGACCUGGUCCUGUCCAUGGCUGUGCUGUAGUGCUUGACCUUUCCUGAGAAGAAGCAGAGGUCCUGGGAUCAACAGCAGGACUGAGGCAAUUCCAUUGGAGCCAGGCAUUUGCUCCAGCCUUCUUGCCAACUUGCUUGAGUAUCUUUUGCCAUUAUACAGUUUGCAGUUGCGUCCCAAAGGAAAAGAAAUUAUCUGUGUGCUGUUUAUGAUCUUUAUUGUGUAUUAAAAAAAGAGUGGGGGGGAACCCUUGUUUUGAGUUUCCUUCCAAAACAGGCUUUUUUUCAGUCUUUGGAUAUUUUUGCCUUGUUUUGUUUUCCUGGUUAAUGUCAUCAUUCAUCUUUCCUGUUUUCGCUGUAGGACUUCUUAGAUGGCUCACAGAUGUGCACUGGAAAGUCUCUCACUGGAAAUUAAAAGGUAGCAUGCUGAAUCUUGAAUGCAAACGAUCUUCAUUGAGUUAGGUUAUUGCUCACAAAAGCAGACUGAAAAGAGAUUUCACUGGAUCUUGCUGCUUUGGUUUCCCUUUUCCCUGGAUUUUCUUAAAACUGCCUCCCACUUCUUGCGCAAACCCCAAAUAGGACUUUUACAAUAACAUCACAGCUCAGCUGGCAACCUUCCCCAGAACAAGUCUUUCCUCAUCCCAUGUUUUUUCAGCCUUUUGCUAAACUCAGUGGAACUUUCUAAUCAACACAACCUUUUUUUUUUUUUCCUUUAAGUUUUUCCAUUUAGAGCUUGUUGCCCUGGUUAAGUUUCUUUUUGCUGUUUACAGCAAAGAACGAGGCCUUUUCUGCCAGCUGAUCUGCAGAGACAUUUCCCCAGUUCUCCUGUCAGCUGCUCUUCUCAGGAUUCCCUCUGUACCCAUUUCUCCACUUAAACAUGCACUCAAACUUCUAGACAUGACCCCCUCUCAACUUUCCAGAUCUAAGCAGAGGAGUUUCCACCACACCUGCUCCAGAUACUGAGAAUCUUUGAGAAUGCUGAGCCUUUCUCUUUCCUAAUUUGUGUAUUUCCUAAUUUGUUUCAGAUAGAACAUACACUAUCAGUGUAUAGAGUCACGACCCUCUGGACCAAAAGUGGCAGCCCUAUGCCAUCUGGCCCCGUAAAAUGUUAUUCUCAUCUAUUUCUACAAGUGUGUAGCAUGUCAUAUAUUUUUAUAGAAUAGUAGAAUGGUUUGGGUUGGAAGACACCUUAAAGAUCAUCUAGUUUCAACCCCUUAACACUGAUAAGAACACCACCCACCAGCUCAGGCUGCCCAGCGCCCCAUGCAACCUGGCCUUGAAUGACUCCAUGGAUGGGGCAUCCACAGCUUCUCUGGGCAGCCUGUGACAGGUCCUCAACACCUUCUCAGUGAAGAAUUUCUUCCUUACAUAUGAUCUAAACCUAAACUGUUUUUUAGCUUCAAACCACGACUCCUUGUUCAAUCACUACGUUCUCUGAAAAAGAGACCUUCCCCAUCUUUCCUGCAGGUGCUUUUUUAGGUACUGGAAGGCCACUGUAAGGUGUCUCUGGAGCUUUCUCUUCCCUAGUCUAAACAAUCCUGACUCUCUCAUCCUCUUUUUGUAGAAGAAGUGCCCCAAGCUCCCUGAGCAUAUCCAUGGCCCUUUUCUGGACCUGCUCCAACAGCUCCAUGUCCUUCUUGUGCUGGGGGUCCCAGUCCCUGCUUCAGAUGGGGCCUCACGAGGGCGGAGCUGAGGGGGACAAUCCCCUCCCUGACCCUGCUGCCAGCCCUCUGUUGAAUCAACCCAGGAUACGCUUGGCCUUCUGGGCUGCAUGCGCACAUUGCAAGCUCAUAUUCAGUUUUUCACCCACCAUUUAAUCAUAGCAUGUAGUAAAAAACACACGGCUGGAGCGUGAACUAUUCACCGGAGACGGUGGCAGAUAACCCCACGCCUGUUGUCCCACCGAGUGCUAGAGAGUUAAUCAUGUUCCUGCAGAGAAGCUGCAUGGCGAUUCAGCAGAGAGAGGUGGCUGAGUAUCAAGCAUCUCUGGAAAUUGUAUCAUGUUAUUUUCAUUUGUUUCCUACCUCAGUAAGCUGGGACUGACUGAAUGCUCUGAGGGAGUUCAGAAUGAGAACGGCUGAAUCACAGCAGCCUCACUGCAGUGAUCGAAGGCAACCACAAGCAGAAAUCUGCAUGAGUCAUUCCAAAGAGAGAGGCCAGAGAAAAGGGUGGGCGUGCUGUGUACUAAAGUACAUAGCUCUUCUGGGAAUGUGAACUUCUCAGGAGCUUUUACUUUACUAUUCUGGUGUAAAUCUGAAGAGAAUCUGCUGCUUUAUAUGUCAUUGUCAUAGUUACAGGUGGGCUCUGCUGGGAACAACUGGUACAGCCCUGCAUCUGCCAUGUCCUUAGACCUACUCGUUAGCUGCUCAUCCAUACAUGCAGGAAGGAACCACUCCAGAAUAAAGGCACAGGGCUGAGCAGGAACAAAACUGUACCCAAAGAGAGAUUAUGGGAGCAUGGUCUCAGCUUCUCCCACUCCGAUAUCCCAAAUGUUUGGAGGAGAAAUCACUGCCCCUCCUAGGCAAGGGCUGUCAGCAUGGCGCCUUAUGCAGUGAGGCCAUGCCUUGCAUAACCCUCCUCAUGUACCUGGGUGACCAGCUGUCUCCCACAGCACCAGCAGGAAAGAGGAUUAAUGAGCUAGUUGGCUUGACAGAGGAUACCUCCCCUAAACAACGGGACACCCUCACCUACAGCCAGAGAUACAAAGAGCCGAGGGCACCCAGCACACUAUGGAAUAGGAUCCCAGUCUGGCAGGAACAAAAAGGAGGGCACAAAAACAGCCUACCUGUCAAAAGCAUUCCACGGGUUGCAGGUUAUACACCUCAGAGUGCUUGCUGCCAAAUCUCAGCAGCCACAGGUAUCUCAUUCCAGUGACGGGGUCUGUCCUACUCACCCGGCUGCUCCCAUAGUGUACCUCCUCUCUGGUUUAUUUUCCCAGAGCAGGUGGGUUCACCGCUUUUGCUUCUUUUUUUUGUUUGUCCCAGGGUGAGAGCCACGAAUCCUGUACUCCCCUGCAGCGAGGUUCCUAUGCAUUCAAAGGAACAGUUUCUUUUACAAGAAACACUCUAAUUCCAGAGUAUAAAACCAUUGUCCUGACAACUUCUUUAUGUGGCUAAGCAUUAAAAUGUUUAUGCAGACUGGAUUGAGAUCUAUUUCAAGUCAAAACUCCACCGUCAGGUGCUCCUGCAGCCUAUGUCAGCUUUCCCUCAAGCUGACAGUGGCAGGACAGAGCUGGCUGGAGCUGUCUUGGAGAUAGAAAAGCCCACUGCCACCUGGGCACUGUCCCCUUGCUCCUGAAAAGGGAUGCCCAGCCACAAGUGGGUUUGGAGUCUCCAUACUUAAACAGCAUUGCUGCUGUGAAUGGGUAUGAGUGCCCAGCAUGUUUGGUACACCAUGGAGAUGGCAGCAGCCCACUGUAAAGCCUUCUGAUGACCAAUGAACAUACGUAUGGCAAAACACAUCAACUAACUGCUUUCAUCUAAGCACCGGAUUACCUGUUGUUCCCGUAGCAGAAAAAUAUCUCCUGGAAACUUUCUUCAUUUCUAGAUUCUCUGUAUCUUGAUAUGAAAACACAGCAUCUGACAAGAUAUGAGAACCGGUUCCCUUUUACUUUUAUUAUAGCUUUUUAAACCACAUAAUAAAAUGUCUCAUAAAAUUUCUCCUCGUAAUCGUAUAGUAUAAAUCAUAGAAUCAUAGAAUGGCUUGGGUUGGAAGGGACCUCAAGUAUCACCAAGUUCCAACCUUUCUGCCAUAGACAGGGUUGCCAGCUGCUAGGUUAAAUACUAGAUCAGAUUGCCCGGGGCCACAUCCAACCUGGCCUUGAACACCUCCAGAGAUGGGGCAUCCACAGCCUCUCUGGGCAGUGUGUUUCAGCACCUCAUCAUUCUCUCAGUAAAAAACCUCCCUCUGACAUCUAAUCUAAAUCUCCCUUCCUUUAGUUUAAUACCAUUCCCCCUUGUCCUAUUACUAUCCAUCCAUGUAAAAGCUGAUUUCCCUCAAGUUUAUACCUUUAAAUACUGGAAUGCUCUUCAAGGUAUCAUGGCACACGUUUCCCCAAACUACCCUGAAAAUGUAACCAGAUUUACAAACAGAAGUCUUAUUUACUUACAUAUUCUUACACCUAUACCUCUAGAAGGUAUACAAAAAUACAAGGAUUGAAUACACUAAUAUGGUAAAUGCAAAACCAAAGGAUAUUCUUUGCAGAAAGAAACUGCGGUGACAGAUGAAAUGACAUAGAAUGGCAGUCUGUGUGUGUACAUAUAAAUAUUGUGUCUUCCUGUUCCACAGCAUGGUGUUACUGAGCUGGAGAACUAAAAAGCAGCAGGAAAUAAUCACACUACCUUAAAGAUUGUGAGAUUUUUUACAAGUCGAUAUGUAGUGAAUUUCUUUCACUUUCUCAGUGUUCACGUCCUGCUCUAAUGUGUACUUCCAAGCUGAAAAAAAAAACACCCAACGAAACAAAACAGAAAAAAAGCAUUGUUGAGAUUCCUGUAUAAUCAAAACAGGGCCUGCAAAGACACCGUUUAUCGAGAGCCACACACUGAGGCAGUGAGAGCUGGCAGCAGCAAACGUAUUACAAUUAAGAAUAACAUUUUUUCCAGAUAGGAUAAACACCAUUUGUCACUUCAUAAGCCUUAGGAUUUGAAAAUGGAACUAAAAGCAUUUCCUUUACUCCUCCCGAUGCAGCCGAUGUUGCUUCAUCUUCUGACGCUGCAUUUGUAGACAUCACCAAACUAAAUUAAAAGCCUCCUUCCUUUCCUCUCCUUUCCCUUAUUCCCCGGUUUUGAAACUGUUUUCUGAAGCACUGAUGUAGAGCUUUGCUGCUGAUCAGUUCUACUGCUUAAAUGUGAUGAGGGGAAGCUUGGAUAUGAAUGGCCCGGCCAGAAGACCACCCAAUUUCAGAGGAGGUUGGGGCCCAGCCAGAAGGGCAGGCCUUUCAGCUGGCUCUGUUCCCAAAAUACAGUAUUUAUGACCUUGAACAUCAUCAGCAAAGGCAGGUGAGGGUUUUACAAAGCAUACCCGCAACUGAAGUGCCCGAAAGUGACAGUUUGGAUAGCUUCACAGGCAACAUGGUUGGUGUUGUGCCUGUCGUUUGGCAUAAUGUGAAAACUUAGAAAUUGAGAACGCCUUGCAGAGGAAGAUGGCCGCCUGGUGUCCCCACCACCACCGUCCUGCCUUUGGGGAGCUCUCUUCACCCCGCAGUUAAACGAGGGACAGCCCCGCAGCCCUCGGGGUGAGGGUGUUUUAGGCCGUGUCCUCCCCUUCUACCUGGAACCCUUCUGCUUACCCUCCUGCAGGGAGAGGCCUGCACGGCCAUUAGCACCCACCUCCCCCCGCCUUGGCUCUGCCCCCCCAGCUGCUCAGCCAACAAAGUCGAGCAAAGCAGAAACUGCAGCGAAGAGCUGUGACUAAUUAAGAUGUUAUCUCGUGAGCAGAUUGAAAUGAAGGUGCCUGGGAAGAGAAUGCAAAAAUCCUAAGUAGCUGUAAAGUGGCUCUUUUUGCCAACCUUAAAGCAGGCACCCCUUAAUAACUCACAGCUGUGCCUAUUUGAACCUCAUCUAGCACCAGCUCAUGCAUUAUUGACGUUCUUAUUACUGGCAGUAGAGCUGCAGAAACGACAGUGAUAGCUGCUUUAGUUGAUGAGAGCGCGGGUGUUGGGUAGGGCUCCCACUUGUUGCAGAGCACAGCCCCUGUACUUGGAGAGCUGUGUACGAGGAGGAGGAGGUGGGAAAGGUGAACUGGGAGACUCUGGAAACUUUAAAGAGCAGAAGGGUAGAGAAGCACAGGUAGAGAAACCUGCAGGAUUAGUGACUGUUUGCUCUUGGAGAGUGAGCUCAUCUCCUUGUUAGCAAUAUGUCCUCUGAUGCGCAAUGGCUCACGCUGAGGGCAAAGGGCAGUUCCCCUGGCCACGGACCAAGGCAGAGAGCUGCUGCCUGGCAUGGAGGCCUUGAGUCAAUGCAGAGGACGCUGCUGUGCUCACAGAGGAGGUAUUGGUGUGCAGCACAGCCUACUGCCACCAGGAUCCCAGAACUACUGUCACAUAGCAUGCUUGGUGGUAGCUUUUGUAUGGAUGCCACCUGAUGAAGAAAUGGAUGGACACCACCAACUGCACUCCUGCACAGCACCGGGCAGCUGAAAACUUUCCCUCCUUCCAGUGAGGUCAAGGACAAAAUGAUGGAAAGCUCUAUUUUCUGUGCCUGAAACCCAUUUUGUCUCCCACUAUGCUUUCCCACAGGCAGCCUGGAGCAGAUUAUUUGUGCAAUCUUUACUCAGCUGUUCCGAAGCCCUUGCUGGAUGGCGGGGAUGGCCCUCCCAGGCAGGUUCUCAGCAGAAUGGUCUGGACUCUGCUGGUGCUCUCACUUAUCACUGGGAGGAUAUUCCAGGACCACAUCCAUUGGCAGGCAGGAAGUUAAUGCACAGCCUCCGAUAAACCAUCUGUUACAAAAGCAGCAAUCAAAAUCCAAAGCAGCAGCCCUUCAGCAACGUGACCAAACUCAGGUUAACUGAAGCCAAAUUCUCCUUUUAAGUAAACAGACCUCCAAGUACUGCUACUCUGACACAUGCUGGAUCAUUGCUUACAAGACGAAACUAGCCUUUCUCCUGCCUGAACCCGAAGUCAGAGGGAACUUUUGAAUGAAUCAUGGACACAAGCCUCGUGGUAGGCAAAGAUUCUGCAUACAUGGAAAGCUUAGAGUCAGACAUGCUACUGGCUGCAGCAGUCCAAGGCAACAAAGCUUCAAGGACAAGCACAACUUCUGUGGAUGUGGAUCACAGGAAGAAAAAGGGUCCAGAGCAGUAAGAAAGCACCAGAGGACCUCUGAGCGAUGGCCACCGGGGUGGCCUGUGUGCAUCACUGCCAGGAGUUUUAAAGAGAAAACCCACAGCACAGCAUGACUGUUGACACUGUCCAGUUCAAAGCAGCUUUGUGGUUUGGAAAAUGGAGGAAGGGAGGAAAAAAAUUAAUGGAAACCUCCUCUGGGAGAGUUUAGCAGUAGGUAAGGGGACAAUGAGCUUUCUAUAGGUACCCCACGUAGGAUCGCAAGGUGAGCCUGGCAGGUUGCCAGCUGGUUGUGAUAGAAGAGUACUGUGUGCCCCAGACCAGAGAUGAGCUCGUCUGCGCAGGCUGUGCUUGUAAGCUACAUCUUGGCCAUCUUGGCUAGCUCAGCCUGCUUCUUCCUGCCAGGGCACUUGGGUGAUUCUGCCUGCUCAUGCACCUUCUCUAAUGCCUUCCUGGUGAUUUAGACGAGCUUUCCAGGAGUCUCUCUCCCAGUGAUAGACAUAGGAAAUAUCCUUAUAUUCUGCCCCUCCUUCCUUAAGUUCUCCUAUGCAGGAGUGAGGAACAGAUGUGCCUUAGUAUUAAUUGCUCGGAAGUAAAUCACACUGGAGACCUGUAUCUGACUCACCUGAUUUGCCCUGGCUCCUCGAUGUAAAUGAUGCGGGCAGGAGGACAAGCCUGGUGCAGAGGACAUGUUUGUUAGCACGUUCCACCCAUCCAAUUGUCCACAGAUGCUUAACGAGAUCCAGGAAGACAGCCAUGAGGCUGGGCAGCUCAGGUCUCAUUCAUAAUUGCUUGCUGUGCAGCAAGCUGCAAUCAUAUGGGAGUUAUAGACAUUACAGUCUAGGAGCAGGAAGAGAGACCUUACCAACAGGGUUUUAGUUUGAAUCAUUCCAAGAUCCGUCUGCACUCUGAGAAUUGCAAUUCAUGAGUUCAGUCCUCAGAGUGGUUCUCAGUAUUUUUUUCUGAAAUUGAAAAGUACUGAUGGAAGCUGUGCAGAAGUCUUGCCUUAACAAGUGCUUUGAGACCAGGUGUCCUGCUUUCCUGAAGCAGGCAUCUAUCACCAGCAAAGCACACCUUGCCUUACAAAGCACAGAACAGAGAGGGAUUCUCUGUCCUGAGGAAUUUACAUAUAGGAGGUAUCGAUAUGAGGAUGGGCAGUGUCUUAUUUUCAUUGUGAGUUUUUCUCCAUUCCUCUUCAGAUCUUUCACAUUCUGCCUGUUUUGGAAACAAGAAAAUGCUCAGUAUUGUUGUGAAUCCCCUUCAGAAACCCAGGAUAGCGGACCGCUCUGUAACAUCUACAAACUUGGUUUUCACCUCCUCUAAACCCCUUGAAGGUCUGGUUUUGGAGAAGUUCAUGCUCUGGAGCUCCUGCAGUGAUGAUGGCAGGCACUGGCUGGGGGCACAUCCGCAGACCCUAUCAGCAGGUUGGAGGUAGAGCUGUGAGCAACAUGAAUGAGAUUCCUUGCAUUAAAGCAGGCAGGGAAGUAUCUGGUAGUGCUCUGCGUGUGCUGUGGCAGUGCCUGGUGAUGGCAGGGGGUCCUGUGGCACCGAGUACCAGUAAGACACCUAAUAAUGGGCUCCCCCACCAUUUCUUACAGAGCAUGGCAAGAGGUUGUAAGGAAAGAUGUCUCUUCUGCUCAGUAUUUAUCAGGAGGGCUGGGGCUUGUUCAAGGACUCCCUCCUCGCCUCCUUACAGGCUGAGGUCAAAUGAGAACACAAAUCUCUCUGAUAAGGUUGUCAAAACAUGCCAAUUGAAUGUCAGAUAUGAUUAAUAGGGAAGAUAACACCGAUGUGAUAGGUCAUGGGGAGGAAACUGCUAAACCAGUUGUAGAAGUGGAGAAUGUGUUGGGGGAGGCAGCAGAGCCUGGUCAGAGCAGAGGGAUUUGCACUGCACAGAAGUCCGUGUGCUGGUGUGGAAAGCUUUGCUGUUGGCACACAGGGCACUCUGGAAGGGUUUGGAACAUCAUCAGGAAAGUCACUCUUUUAUAACAUACAGAUGGUUUCAGGACAGCUUCCAGAUAUUCCUGUGAUUUCAUUGCCUUAAUGCAUUGCAUUGCAUCCCCCACUACACUGAUAAUCAGCCCAGACAUCUAUUCAGCCAAACUGCCUCUGAGCCAUGGUGGGAGGCAUUCCUUGAGAGCUCUUUGUGGCUGUGGUUGUGCAGACCAGGCAGGGGCGCUCCCCACGCAUCACCAUUCACAGGAUUACAAGGACACCUACAAGGGUCACUGCUUCCCCUUUCCCUGUUAGCAUCAGCUGUUGUGGCAUCCAUGCCCCAGGUCACCCAGGAAUGGCCAUACGGCUCCUGUCACUCAGAUUACAGUUCCCAACCCUAUGCGUUUGCACAGGAGAAGGCUGGAGGCUGAGGUGGAGGAGGAAGGGAAAUGCUGGCCACAGAUUACUGCACUGCUCUAUCAAAAGGACGAGAUGAAGGGCAGGGCGGGUUUUGCAAUGCCUUUUCAGCCACAGCAAAGCACCUGUCAGCAGAACUGAGAGGGGAUGUGAUAGAGGUGAAGAACAGGAGGCCUGAAGACAGUAAGACACGAGGCAGAGCUCUUUGCUUUCCUGGCCUGUGAUUUCUUGCUUAAGCUUCUUUUGAGACAGUGGUCCUGUAUAAUACUUCUGGCCUUUCGCUUCGCUCUCAGCCUUAUUUAUUGCCUCUUCCCAAUGCUCCAAUGCUUUCCUCCUCCCCAGCACUCCUGCAGCCGAGGAACUUUGCCAGUGCCACUGCCUUGGCUGAGUGGAGGAAUAAGCAGAGGUAAAAUCAAGGGCUUUGCACGCACCAGUGUUCCCACGUAAGCUGUCAGCAGUCACAGUGACAGACGACCCUGGCACAAAAGCACGUAGCUGCAAUUUACACACAACUUUACCCCAAAGAAGCAUAAAUUGACACUGGCUUGAUGGUCGUGGCAGGGAAGCAGGUUACCAGCCCCCAACUACAGAUAUUGUGGUUAAUCUUUUAUGCCAACAAAGCCUCGAUUUUGAUUUAAAUCUCCCUUUUAUCUUUCUGCCUUUCUACCCUAGAGCAAACAUACUUUCACCUACAGCGAGUGAAUUGAAUGAAAAAGCCAUUUUUCUUGCCCUGUCACAAAGCCACAUUCUGGGGCUACUACGUGUGGAAUUUUCCAUGUGGUUGCUAUAAGCAGCCCAUGUACACAGUAGAAAAAAAAACAGCUUGGCUUUUAAAUGGUGCAAGAAUUGCCUCUGAUUAUUUCCGCAACACCUGUACAGGUCCUUAACCAAAGCCUCUGGCUGCCUCCAAGUGAAGCAGAGCAUCAGAGACAGAUUGAAGAGCUGAAAAAAAGCCCAUUACAAAAAACACAGCUUGGAAGGAGACAGAGUUCUUACCAGCCACACUUCUGCGGUGCUGACAAAUUGUGCUCAAGAAAUCCACUUCUUCUUCCAGAAGAAUUCACACCACUUGCUCUAUUUUAUGAGGGGUGUUUCUGAGCCUCGGGUGAGUGCGAACAGCUGCAGGUCUGUCUGUCUGGGCAAGGCCUGAGGAUCGCUAUGGGAAGCGACAGCCCCUCAGAAACACACCUGAGAGCGGCUGCGACUCCAGCCCAGCACCAGGGAUGGCACCCAGGAGGACGGCCAUCUCGGGGCGGCCCAGCACCUCAGCAUCCCUCCUCAUCCCUGCUGUCUCCCCAAGCGCUGGCGGGGCCAAAACCUCCAGGCCUCUGCCACAGCUUCCCUCUUCUCUCCUCUCUGCUGACGUAACCUGGCAUUUUUUGCUUUCAAAUCCUGCCGUGUGAUGAAAAUGAAACAUUUAAGAGGAGCGUGAAAUUAAAUGUGGCCUCCAGCUAGGGCUCCCCAGGAAUGCUUCUCAAAGUGCAUUAUUCAUUUUCAUCUUUAAUUCAUUCUGAAAUGCCAUUUGUGGAUCCUGAGACAUGCUCAGGGCUGGAGCAGCACAGAAUUAUGAGUUCUUUACCACAGGGCCUACGGGACCCACAUCAUCUUCUGCCUCUUGGGCACACACCUGGGUGCCCACUGCUUAGCAGCUUGGGUCUGUGGUCUGGAACCCAAGGUCUGCCCGGUGCUCCUUGGUUUCCUUUUCCAGAAGGGCAGAGCACAACACCAAAGUCUUUGGGAGCUAAGCUUUGGAGUUGUAAGUAUUGUUUGAUGAUGGAUAUUGUGAGAAAUAAGGUAUUUCUCAAAAUACGUACUCCAAGUUUUUGAAUAUUUUUACCUCCAUUUACCUCUGUUUUAUCAAAUUUGAUCUACUUUAACUUAAUCUAGCUCAGUUUGCUGUCAUUGCUGUCCCCUCCACCAAAGAGAGGAUGUUGUGAACAGAAACUGAUGAGGCACUCCCAGGCAACAGAGAUGAGCACCGUUGAUAAUAAAGCAACAAGGAAAAAGCAGUUCCUCCUCUAUGGUGGGGCUUUAGCAGCAUGCAGUACGUAGGAUGUAAAUUUGCAUGUAGGACAGUCAGAGGAAAACCAAUCUGGCCUCACUGCUCACUCAGUAGAUUAGUACUACACAUUUCAUACAGUGAAUGAGGCAAAGACUUUGGAAAAAGCGAAAUAUAUGAUCAGGUUGUUAUCAGUAUGCAAAAGAGACCAAAUUAAAGCGGUACAGGACUCCCUAAUCCUGGUGUUUCCUAUCUUUGGCUGCUUGACCUUGCAGCCUUACUGUUCUUUGAACACAGAUUGUGGGUUAUAAACCAGUAUUUAUAGUACAGGAAUACCCUCAUUUCCCCCCCAAGACAAGAUGUACUGAGGCAGUGCAGCACAGACGCAGCAUCUGAUCCAGCAAGCUUGCGAUCCAAGAAGAUUAAUAGAGAAGGAAGGGGAUGAAGGAGAAAUAAAAUAAGCUCAAAUGCAUAUGGUUGUGUGGCUGCAUGCACACACACAUUAAAAAAUGUAUUUACAUUAACAUAUGUAUUGAUUUAAAAACUCUGGAUUUUAUAAAUAUAUAUAUAUGCACAGAGUACAUAUAGAAUUAUAUAUAUAUACAUGCAUUUGAGUAGCUAGCAAAUCGCUGCCUUUCCCCAGCUGCCUUGUAGCCUAGCUAACAUAUGGCGGCUGGUUUUCCUGCUGGCGUCAUAGCACCAGGGAGCUGUGAGCAGCAUAUUGGAGCCAGGCACUUCCAGGUUUCAUCAGGGAGCUGCUCCACACAUAAGGUGGAGUGCAGUGGGAUUGCAACAACACACGUGAAGGGAAGAGACAAAUUUCCUGAAAGCCUCUGGGAAAUUGCCCUUCUAAAUAAGUUUGAUUUAAAGUGUUUUGGAGAAACGUUUUGAUAGGAAAUUUUUAAAUUUAUUUAUCUUUUUAAUAAAUUGUCCGUUCUACUGAAUUUUGAACAACAGAGAGCAAAACCUAUUCUUUUGUUCUUCUUGUUGUUUUCAAAAUGAUUUCAGUGUGCAUCACAUGAAAACUCAGUGUACGAGUUUUAAUAACAGGAAACACUUUUUACUGUGAGCUUCCCAGAAAGCUUGUGGAGUUUCCAUCCGUGGAGGCCUUGAGAAGCCGCCUGGGUACGGGCCUGGAUCCCCUGCUCUGGCUGGCCCUGUGGGAGCAGGGUAGGCCAGGGGCCUCCUGCCAACCUCAGGCACUCUGUGAUUCUGCCAGUUUGGGCUUGGUAGCUAACCCUGCUUAUAUAGAUUGCCCAUUUAUAUAGAAUCAUAGAGUGGCUUGUGUCAGAAAGGACGUUUUGACUCUCUGCUGUGCGCUGGUUGCCAGUGACCAGCUGAGGCUGCCCAGGGCCCCAUCCAACCUGGCCUUGAGCAACUCCAGUGAUAGGGCAUCCACAACUUCUCUGGGCAGCCUGUGCCAGUGCCUCCACUGCCCUCUAAGUGAAAAAAUUCCCCCUAGCACCUAAUCUAGUCUUUAUAAACUCAUCUCAGCAACAGGUUUGGAUAUGAAGUAAUUUGCUCUCAUCCGCAAAUGACAGAAGCAGUAGUCAGUAGUUUUCAGUUCUUUUUGAGUCAUUAAGCCCCAGACAUUUUCCAGUAGAAAUACAGAUUCCUCUCCAGUGAAGUGAAACCUAAUUGCAGGAAGUGUAAUUUUCUUUGCACAUGGUUUACUGACUCCCCUGCUCCUGGGCCAGAGGACCCCAGCCAGGGCUCCAAAGAUCUUAAUUGUUGUUGUGAAUAACUGCCUAUUUUCUUAGCAGGGCUUUGAGUUCCACAAGGCACAAUCUAAUGGCUUCCAGUGAGUAUUAUUUAUCAUAUGUGCAUACUGAGACAUAUGGCAUUAUUUCCAUCCUUCAAGUCCUAAUAGAGACGUCCUGUAAACAGCUGUGGGCUGUUCCUGGGACGUAUGUAUUUCCUUGUCAGUCUUAUGCACAGCAGCUCUCACUUCUAACUUCCAGUGUGGUUUGUUGGAUUGUAUUGAUUCAUUUUUGAAACAAUCAUCUAUUUUAACUAUUCUUAUAAAAAAUAAACACAAGGCUUUACAAGUGAGCAGAACUUCCCAGGAAACCCACACAAACAUCCUCUUGCUCGCUUGGAAGCCUGAUUGUACCAUGUACAGACUGACACGUCAACGCACCUGCAGGGGUGACUAACACUGUAGCCUCCCUUGAAGAAAAAGACCGGGUUUGUGUGAUCUGCUGUACUUGGCAAACCUGCCUUUCUCCAUAAUCACCAGUGUAAAUAAAGAGCAAUUUAACU